UAUGCAAAACAAGACUAAGAGAAAAAACGACAUUGUGAAGAGAGCGAGAAAGAGAGAGAGAGAGAAAGAGAGAGAGGAGCCAGAGCACGUUGUUCGGAGUGUUCUGAGCAGACACUGUCUGGACCAUGUGCACAGAGGAAAGAAAGGUGACAAGGAAAAGAGCUGCCACUGAGAGAAAGAAGAGAAGAGAGAGUGUGAACGGUGAAGCUGGACUGAAAGAGAUGCCAGGAGCCCUGGGUCUGGGAAUCACACACAUCAAACACAGUAUGAAGCUGCCUGGACCGGAUGACGGCGCUGCUAUACAGACUGGCCAUGCAGAAAAACUCCCUCUUUGUAGGUGAAUGAGUGGCCCAGUCAGGAUUACUUACUGCAAGGGUCUUAACCCGCCAACCAGCAGUACUCCAUCUCAGAGGCUAAAAACAGACACGGAGACACACUUAACAAGGCCUUAUUAGAUUACUAGUGAUCCUCUGCUGAAUGUGUUUAAAUAAGUCACAAGCUCCCAGGUAUUCAGUGCUAACCCAGUGACAAGAGACGGCCGUCUUUGC